CAAAAAUGCACAUGCUGUGAGCUCGAUGAGUAGGGCGGGACACGUGGUAUCCUGUCUGAAUAUGGGGGGACCAUCCUCCAAGGCUAAAUACUCCUGACUGACCGAUAGUGAACCAGUACCGUGAGGGAAAGGCGAAAAGAACCCCGGCGAGGGGAGUGAAAAAGAACCUGAAACCGUGUACGUACAAGCAGUGGGAGCACGCUUAGGCGUGUGACUGCGUACCUUUUGUAUAAUGGGUCAGCGACUUAUAUUCUGUAGCAAGGUUAACCGAAUAGGGGAGCCGAAGGGAAACCGAGUCUUAACUGGGCGUUAAGUUGCAGGGUAUAGACCCGAAACCCGGUGAUCUAGCCAUGGGCAGGUUGAAGGUUGGGUAACACUAACUGGAGGACCGAACCGACUAAUGUUGAAAAAUUAGCGGAUGACUUGUGGCUGGGGGUGAAAGGCCAAUCAAACCGGGAGAUAGCUGGUUCUCCCCGAAAGCUAUUUAGGUAGCGCCUCGUGAAUUCAUCUCCGGGGGUAGAGCACUGUUUCGGCAAGGGGGUCAUCCCGACUUACCAACCCGAUGCAAACUGCGAAUACCGGAGAAUGUUAUCACGGGAGACACACGGCGGGUGCUAACGUCCGUCGUGAAGAGGGAAACAACCCAGACCGCCAGCUAAGGUCCCAAAGUCAUGGUUAAG
rnacentral:rRNA from 1 species